CAGCCGCCGCGGUAAUACGAAGGGGACUAGCGUUGUUCGGAAUUACUGGGCGUAAAGCGCACGUAGGCGGAUAUUUAAGUCAGGGGUGAAAUCCCGCAGCUCAACUGCGGAACUGCCUUUGAUACUAGGUAUCUUGAGUAUGGAAGAGGUAAGUGGAAUUGCGAGUGUAGAGGUGAAAUUCGUAGAUAUUCGCAGGAACACCAGUGGCGAAGGCGGCUUACUGGUCCAUUACUGACGCUGAGGUGCGAAAGCGUGGGGAGCAGACAGGAUUAGAUACCCCUGUAGUCCCUGUCUCUUAUAC
rnacentral:rRNA from 1 species